rnacentral:rRNA from 1 species
CAAUAGCGUAUAUUUAAGUUGUUGCAGUUAAAAAGCUCGUAGUUGGAUUUCGGAUGGGACUUGCCGGUCCGUCGUUUCGAUGUGCACUGGCCAGUCCUGUCUUGUUGUCGGGGACUAGCUCCUGGGCUUCACUGUCCGGGACUAGGAGCUGACGAGGUUACUUUGAGUAAAUUAGAGUGUUCAAAGCAAGCCUACGCUCUGAAUACAUUAGCAUGGAAUAACACGAUAGGACUCUGGCUUAUCUUGUUGGUCUGUGAGACCAGAGUAAUGAUUAAGAGGGACAGUCGGGGGCAUUCGUAUUUCAUUGUCAGAGGUGAAAUUCUUGGAUUUAUGAAAGACGAACUUCUGCGAAAGCAUUUGUCAAGGAUGUUUNCAUUAA